ensembl:lncRNA novel transcript
GGCAGAGGGAAGUGCCCAAGCCUGGGGACAAAAAUGCCUACCUGCUUUCUUGUGUGUCAACCUCAGCUACAGAAAGGAGAGGGCAUCUUUCUAACACAUCAGUGUAGGGCUCUAAAAACACAAGCUAAUAGAGGCAAACCUAACAAGAGAGGCCCUGGCAGAGCCUCAUGUGUGCCUGGUGGGAGGACCUGUAUGUUGUGAGCUAGAGAGUGCCUGCCUGGCCAAGGACCCCAUCUGGCCUAGGCCCAAGUGCAGCCACAAGUUGGGUACACUGCUACAAAAGUGGCCAAGCCUGAGGACAGUAGCAGUGCCACCUGAUUCCCCAAGAUGUCACCUGAGAAUUAAAGGCAGAGCUGGUAGCUGGGUGAGGGGGCUCAUGCGUGUAAUCCCAGAACAUUGGGAGGCCAAGGUGGGAGGAUCACUUAAGCCCAGGAGUUCAAUCACCUGAGGUCAGGGUUCUCCAUGUUGACCAAGCUGAGUUCGAGACCAGCCUGGCCAACAUGGAGAAACCCUCUGUUAAAAAAAAAAAAAAAAUUAGGCCGGGUGCAGUGGUUCACGCCUGUAAUCCCAGCACUUUGGGAGGCUGAGACCACAGGCGUGUGCCACCAUGCCAGGCUAAUUUUUUGUAUUUUUGGUAGAGACAGGACUUCGUCAUAUUACCCAUGCUGGUCUCGAACUCCGGAGCUCAAGCGAUCUGCCUACCUCAGUCUCCCAAAGUGCUGGGAUUACAGGCAUGGGCCAAUGCGCCCAGCCCUGAACCAUAUCUUGAUGAUGCACCUCAAAAAACUAGCCCCCUCUCUA